UACGAAGGGUGCAAGCGUUACUCGGAAUUACUGGGCGUAAAGCGUGCGUAGGCGGUUUGUUAAGUCCGUUGUGAAAGCCCUGGGCUCAACCUGGGAAUGGCGGUGGAUACUGACAAGCUAGAGUGCGGUAGAGGAGGGUGGAAUUCCCGGUGUAGCGGUGAAAUGCGUAGAGAUCGGGAGGAACAUCAGUGGCGAAGGCGGCCCUCUGGACCAGCACUGACGCUGAGGCACGAAAGCGUGGGGAGCAAACAGG
rnacentral:rRNA from 1 species